UUUUUUUUUUUUUUUAAAGAGAGAUAGGUAGCACGCUACCCGCUUCGUUUAUUUCAUUUAGAAAUAAAUUUAGCUGGAAAUGUGAAUCAACUAGGAUUCGAACUUGGGUCUCGGGUACCAACCACCAAGCCCUUUACCACUUGCUCUAGGGACGGUUGGGAACUUUAAAAAAUAUGUUAUAAAAAAAGAUCGACAACACAACAUUUUAUUUAUUUUUCGCUAUUAUAAUUUUAUGUUUAUUCAUAAAUUAUUUCAUCCUUAAUUAUUAUCGCCAUGAAUUAUAUCAACUAUAUAUAUAUACAUAUAUAUAUCCUCUUAAAAAUUUUCAUAUC
rnacentral:lncRNA from 1 species